rnacentral:lncRNA from 1 species
AUAUAAAAUGGUGACUUGCCUAAGAUGUUACAUGAUUCAAGAUAAUCAGGUAGUUUUAAUUUCUUCAACUGAAAACUGCCUGUUCAUAUCCUUUGACAACUUAUCAAUUGAGAAGAUACUCUGGUUUUGAAAAGAUGUUUGAGACCAACAUAAGAUAAGAUCUAUUCAUUCGAUCAAGAAUUUGUUUUAAAGGUUAGAAAAUAAAGCAUGCAUUUCUACAGUGAAAUGUGAUAUA